AUUGAACGCUGGCGGCAGGCCUAACACAUGCAAGUCGAGCGAGCGGCGGACGGGUGAGUAAUGUCUGGGAAACUGCCUGAUGGAGGGGGAUAACUACUGGAAACGGUAGCUAAUACCGCAUACCCUCAGAUGUGCCCAGAUCGGAUUAGCUCGUAGGUGGGGUAACGGCUCACCUAGGCGACGAUCCCUAGCUGGUCUGCGAGGAUGACCAGACACACUGGAACUGAGACACGGUCCAGAGUCCUACGGGAGGAAGCAGUGGGGAAUAUUGCACAAUGGGCGAAAGCCGGAUGCAGACAUGCCGCGUGUAUGAAGAAGGCCUUAGGGUUGUAAAGCACUUUAAGCGGGGAGGCGUUACCGGCAGAAGAAGCACCGGCUAACUCCGUGCCAGCCGCCGCGGUAAUUC
rnacentral:rRNA from 1 species